CCUACGGGAGGCAGCAGUGAGGAAUAUUGGUCAAUGGCCGGAAGGCUGAACCAGCCAAGCCGCGUGAAGGACGAAGGUGCCAAGCAUUGUAAACUUCUUUUGUCAAGGAACAAAAUCAGGCUCGAGAGCCUGAACGAGGGUACUUGAAGAAAAAGCAUCGGCUAACUCCGUGCCAGCAGCCGCGGGAAUACGUAUGGUGCAAGCGUUAUCCGGAUUUACUGGGUGUAAAGGGAGCGCAGGCGGCACGGCAAGCCUGAUGUGAAAGCCCGCGGCCCAACCGCGGGACUGCAUUGGGAACUACCGUGCUGGAGUGCCGGAGAGGUAGGCGGAAUUCCUAGUGUAGCGGUGAAAUGCGUAGAUAUUAGGAGGAACACCAGUGGCGAAGGCGGCCUACUGGACGGUGACUGACGCUGAGGCUCGAAAGCGUGGGGAGCAAACAGGAUUAGAUACCCCAGUAGUC
rnacentral:rRNA from 1 species